GAACGCUGGCGGCGUGCUUAACACAUGCAAGUCGAGCGGAAAGGCCCUUCGGGGUACUCGAGCGGCGAACGGGUGAGUAACACGUGAGCAACCUGCCCCAGGCUUUGGGAUAACCCCGGGAAACCGGGGCUAAUACCGGAUAUGACCUUGCAUCGCAUGGUGUUUGGUGGAAAGUUUUUCGGCUUGGGAUGGGCUCGCGGCCUAUCAGCUUGUUGGUGGGGUGAUGGCCUACCAAGGCGACGACGGGUAGCCGGCCUGAGAGGGCGACCGGCCACACUGGGACUGAGACACGGCCCAGACUCCUACGGGAGGCAGCAGUGGGGAAUAUUGCACAAUGGGCGGAAGCCUGAUGCAGCGACGCCGCGUGAGGGAUGACGGCCUUCGGGUUGUAAACCUCUUUCAGCAGGGACGAAGCGUAAGUGACGGUACCUGCAGAAGAAGCGCCGGCCAACUACGUGCCAGCAGCCGCGGUAAGACGUAGGGCGCGAGCGUUGUCCGGAUUUAUUGGGCGUAAAGAGCUCGUAGGCGGC
rnacentral:rRNA from 1 species